rnacentral:rRNA from 1 species
UACGUAGGUGGCGAGCGUUAUCCGGAAUUAUUGGGCGUAACGAGCGCGCAGGUGGUUGAUUAAGUCUGAUGUGAAAGCCCACGGCUUAACCGUGGAGGGUCAUUGGAAACUGGUCGACUUGAGUGCAGAAGAGGGAAGUGGAAUUCCAUGUGUAGCGGUGAAAUGCGUAGAGAUAUGGAGGAACACCAGUGGCGAAGGCGGCUUCCUGGUCUGUAACUGACACUGAGGCGCGAAAGCGUGGGGAGCAAACAGGAUUAGAUA